GGCCUCGUAGUACAAUGGAUAGUAUAAGGGUUUCCGAAGCCCCAGAUCCCAGUUCGAUUCUGGGCGAGGCUACAA
rnacentral:tRNA from 1 species